CCCCGCGCCGUCCCCAGUUGUCCCUGAGGAUCCAUCCGUGAGAGCCCUUCGCGCACGCAGCGCGGUGCCACCUCGGUCUUCUGCUGUGUUGGGGCCGGAAUCGUGGCUGCCCCCAUUGCACACGCGGAGGCACCCUCAGACCGAGUUGAGUAAGUGGAAAAUGAACGGAGAGGCGGUGCCGUACCCAGGCCCAGCCACAAGGGGAGCUGUUACCACCCCAGACCUGGGGAGCCGCUGCAGCCGGAGACGAGACCCAACCAGCGGGAGCUGUGACCUUGGGGAGAGGGACACAGCGACCUGGCAGCGAGGAGCCCGGUGAUUGAUACACUGACCUCGCUGUCCUCCGGUCUGCUCCUUUCCUCCCUGGGCUCCUCACUGGCAGAACCUGGCCGCGGCGGGGCAAGGGGCCCCCUGACACCGGGCCUGCAGCGCUGCGCCGGGCCGCCCCGGGCCGCAGGGCAGGGCCGGGCCGUGGGGGCGCGCCUGUUCUGAAGUGGGAAUAAAAGCAUCUCA